ACACGAUGUUCUGCCAAGUGGUCUAGGAGGGCUCUGAGAAAAUUUUUAUCUGUUAUUAACAAAGAGCAGAGCUCAGAAUGCUCUGGUCCAAGAGUAGAUUAAGCCAUGAGAGGCAGGUUACUUCUGAUUAGUAAGUUACUUCUGUAUAUUAUGUUUAACAAGCUUAAAGACUGAGUCAUUGCUGUUGGAAUGCUGCCUUCUUUGUUCACAACACUAUAAAAAGACUGCUGUAUUCAAUGAAGGGGCUCCUUCUGCUUCUUCUUCAUUGUUCAUGCUGACCUGCAUUUGAGUUAUUUGUGGUACUUGGCAUAGUCCACAGGAUCCUGCACCAAAAGGGCAAAAUGCCUUUUUAGGUACCUUCAGGACUUAUCAAAUUGCAGAAUGAGUGACCCAUUUGUCAGACAAUUUCAGGAGCUGGCAAUGCAGAGAACCUCUACGAUGGUGACAGAAACAGCAGAAUCCCCAACAUGAGGACAGAUGUAAAGGUUGACUCAAGAAGCUGAAAAAAAAUCUUCUAUUAGCUUUGCUUGCAAUUAUUAAUUUCCAGUUGCUUCUGUAAAUGCCACAGCUAUGAUAGCUGGCAUUGCUUUGAUUCAAGAAAUUCAAACUGCAGAUUUCAUGAGUGCAUGGGAUCAAGAUGCUCAUUUAUUAUGGCAACAACAAAAGGUUUUAGACUCUCAAUUGAAUACAGAUGUGAUAAAUCUACAACAUACUGUUUCCUGGCUUGGCAAUCAAAAACAAAAUGAAGGCGAUAUAGAAAAUCAGACAUGACUAUGAGUGUGCUUGCAACAAGUCGCCCUGCUGUCUUGGUGGAGCUUGCCUUCAAAAAGGAUAUUCAGCCAAGGUUUAGAUAAGGUGACUGUGAACAUGCUUGCAAAUGAGAUGCCUUGCUGUCUUUGAUGGAGCUAGCCUGCAAACUGGAUGUUCUUCCAAGUACAGUAGGAGGGCUCUGAGAAAAUUUUAUCUGUUGUUAGCAAAGAGCGGAGUUCAGAAUGCUCCAGCCCAAGAGUAGAUUAAGCCAUGAGAAGCACAUAACUUUUGAUUAGUAAGUUACUUCUGUAUAUUAUGUUUAGCUAGCUUAAAGACCUGAAUCAUUGGUUUUGGAAUGCUGCCUUUUUUGUUCACAAUACUAUAAACAGACUGCUGUAUUCAAUAAAGGGGCUUCUGCUUCUUCUUCCUUGUUUA